rnacentral:rRNA from 1 species
UACGUAGGGCGCAAGCGUUGUCCGGAAUUAUUGGGCGUAAAGAGCUCGUAGGCGGCUUGUCACGUCGGGUGUGAAAGCCCGGGGCUUAACCCCGGGUCUGCAUUCGAUACGGGCUAGCUAGAGUGUGGUAGGGGAGAUCGGAAUUCCUGGUGUAGCGGUGAAAUGCGCAGAUAUCGGGAAGAACACCUAUGGCGAAGGCAGCUCUCUGGGACGGUACUGACGCUGAGACGCGAAAGCGUGGGGAGCGAACAGG